rnacentral:ribozyme from 1 species
UGCCUCCUAGAACUCUUAUCCCUACCUCCUCGUGAUACUGGCGGGGGUACGAGCAACCUUAGAAGAUCGGGUAACCAACCCCGUAGGGAUCUUUGGUCAUAUGCUGACAGGGAAGG